UACGUAGGGUGCAAGCGUUGUCCGGAAUUAUUGGGCGUAAAGAGCUCGUAGGCGGUUUGUCACGUCGGAUGUGAAACCCUGAGGCUCAACCUCAGGCCUGCAUUCGAUACGGGCAGACUAGAAUUCGGCAGGGGAGACUGGAAUUCCUGGUGUAGCGGUGAAAUGCGUAGAUAUCAGGAGGAAUACCGAUGGCGAAGGCAGGUCUCUGGGCUAACACUGACGCUCAUGCACGAAAGCGUGGGGAGCAAACAGG
rnacentral:rRNA from 1 species